AGGAUAAACGCUGGCGGCGUGCCUAACACAUGCAAGUCGAACGUCUCUUUCUUCGGGAAGAGGAGUGGCGGACGGGUGAGGAACACGUGGGAACCUGCCCUUCAGUGAGGAAUACCGGCGAGAAAUCGCCGACAAGACCGCAUAGCCCUCUCUGGUGAGAGCCAGAGAAGGAAAGCUUCGCAAGAGGCGCUGGAGGAGGGGCCUGCGUCCGAUUAGCUAGUUGGUGGGGUAAGAGCCUACCAAGGCGUCGAUCGGUAGCUGGUCUGAGAGGACGAUCAGCCACACUGGGAUUGAGAACGGCCCAGACUCCUACGGGGGCAGCAGUGAGGAAUUUUCGGCAAUGGGGGAAACCCUGACCGAGCAACGCCGCGUGCAGGAAGACGGCCUUCGGGUUGUAAACUGCUUUUCUUUGGGACGAGCAAGGACGGUACCAGAGGAAUCAGCCCCGGCUCACUACGUGCCAGCAGCCGC
rnacentral:rRNA from 1 species